GCUGCGGUAGCUCAAUUGGUAGAGCAUCGUAUGCGGAAUGCGAAGGUUGUGGGUUCGGUCUCCACCUGCGGCA
rnacentral:tRNA from 1 species